GGGGCUGUUGCUCAGUGGCAGAGUGCUUGCCUGGCAUGCAUGAGGCACUGGGUUCAAUCCUCAGCACCACA
rnacentral:tRNA from 1 species